AGAAUUUUCAGCCGCGCGCAUCUGGAAACUACGCCCCUGCCAUGGAGCCCUCUUUUCACGCCAAGGCUUGACCUGCUCCUCCAACACGGCCCUGCUCCGACCACGCCGCCACCGUUGAGAAUCCACCCCAACUCGAGCAGUUCACCGGCGUCAUGGAGGAAGCACUGAGCUGCUGCAUUGGAAAUACGAGGAGCUUCAUCAAUGCAAGAAGUUGAGAUUCACUCAACGGCAAGAAAUAGUCUCAUGUUUUUCUUCCAAAUAGUAUGUACCAUUCCCCACUUUGAUACUUAUGAACACCCAUUUGAGAUAUCCUUUUCCUAGUUACAGUUCAUCCAGAUCACGAGUACGAUUUAUGGUUCAUGAUCCAACUAAAAGAGGUGGAAUAUCCUCUGCCCUUGACAUGUGCAAGCACACAAUUGGUUGUUCCUGCUGGAGAAGGUGCACAAUCUUGCCGAGUUGCACACAAUCAAUUAAAAUGGUUUUUUGGGAAGAAUUAAAUGAACAUCAUCAGUGUAACAUAGAGGUUAAAGCAGGUGGUUGAGGGUAUCCUUGAAGAGAAGCUUGCAACUUAAGCUGCAACAAAAGUGCAUAUUUAGUUGAUGCACUUGUGUGUUUUUAGAUGUUGCAACUCUGUUUUCAUUGACCUACGAUUCAUGUAUGUAAAUUCUAUGGAACUGUAUCCGAAGACUUGUGAAUUUGUAUCUCUGGUUGAUGGAAACAAUUGAUAGUGAUGUUUCUAUGUUUUAAA